AACGAACGUUAGCGGCGCGCCUAACACAUGCAAGUCGAGCGAGAAAGGGGAAACCACGGUAAAGCGGCGCACGGGUGAGUAACACGUAGGCAAUCUACCCUCGGGUGGAGGCUAACUUUCCGAAAGGAAGGCUAAUACUGCAUGAGACCACGGCUUCGCGCGAGGUUGGGGCCAAAGCCGCACACUGUACACACGCUGGCGCUGGCGGAUGAGCCUGCGGCCCAUCAGCUAGUUGGUAAGGUAAUGGCCUACGAAGGCGAAGACGGGUAGCUGGUCUGAGAGGAUGAGCAGCCACACUGGAACUGAGACACGGUCCAGACUCCUACGGGAGGCAGCAGUGGGGAAGCUUGCGCAAUGGGCGAAAGCCUGACGCAGCGACGCCGCGUGAGUGAUGAAGGCCUUCGGGUUGUAAAGCUCUGUGGAGGGGGACGAAUAAGGCAUGGCUAACAUCCAUGUUGAUGACGGUACCUCUUUAGCAAGCACCGGCUAACUCUGUGCCAGCAGCCGCCGUAA
rnacentral:rRNA from 1 species